rnacentral:rRNA from 1 species
ACCCGCUGCCUUUAAGCAUAUUAAUAAGCGGAGGAAGAGAAACCAACCGGGAUUUCCCCAGUAACGGCAAGCGAAGCGGGAAGAGUUCGCGCCUCCAAUCUCCGGCGACGUCGUCGGCGAAUUGUGGCCGCCAGAGGUAUCCGUCGUCGCGACUACCCUGCUCAGAAGUUGACCUGGAACGGCACGUCGGAGAGGGUGAGAGUCCCGUACUCGGACUGGGAUGGCACGGCUUUGGCAGCCUUCGCAGAGUCGGGUUGUUUGGGACUGCAGCCCAAAAUUGGUGGUAAACUCCAUCUAAAGCUAAAUACUGGCACGAGACCGAUAGCGAACAAGUACC